rnacentral:rRNA from 1 species
AACGUGAAAUCGCUGGAGUGGAACCGGAGACAGUUGAUGUUGCUUGGAGACAAGCUUGGUGACUGGUCGCUUAGUUGUGAUCGUUGCCGGGUGUCGUUUCCUAUGCUACGCCGACGGCGUUGGCUGCUCGUUCUAGCCCGACAGUGUUGCCCAUCUCGCAAGAGAAGGUGUCUUGCUGGCGGUAGUGGGUUCGUGGCGGCUAGCGUUUAGUUACGCUAGUGUGUGUGACGUCGGUGUGAAAGUCGACGACGUUUCCGACCCGUCUUGAAACACGGAUUGCGGAGUGCUUGUCUACUGCGAGUCAAAGGGUGUUAAAACCUUGCGGCGAAAUGAAAGUAAAGGUCAGUCUCGAAUUGGCCGACGUGGGAUCUGUGUUCUUCGGAGUGCAGCGCACCACGGCCCUGUGCGUGUCACUUGUGACUGUGCAGAGGUUGAGCAGUUGGCAAACGACCCGAAAGAUGGUGAACUAUGCCUGAGCAGGAUGAAGCCAGAGGAAACUCUGGUGGAAGUCCGUAUCGGUUCUGACGUGCAAAUCGAUCGAUAGAC